UACGGGAGGCAGCAGUGGGGAAUAUUGCACAAUGGGCGGAAGCCUGAUGCAGCAACGCCGCGUGCGGGAUGACGGCCUUCGGGUUGUAAACCGCUUUCGCCUGUGACGAAGCGUGAGUGACGGUAAUGGGUAAAGAAGCACCGGCUAACUACGUGCCAGCAGCCGCGGUGAUACGUAGGGUGCGAGCGUUGUCCGGAUUUAUCGGGCGUAAAGGGCUCGUAGGUGGUUGAUCGCGUCGGAAGUGUAAUCUUGGGGCUUAACCCUGAGCGUGCUUUCGAUACGGGUUGACUUGAGGAAGGUAGGGGAGAAUGGAAUUCCUGGUGGAGCGGUGGAAUGCGCAGAUAUCAGGAGGAACACCAGUGGCGAAGGCGGUUCUCUGGGCCUUUCCUGACGCUGAGGAGCGAAAGCGUGGGGAGCGAACAGGCUUAGAUACCCUGGUAGUCCACGCUGUAAACGGUGGGUACUAGGUGUGGGGUCCAUUCCACGGGUUCCGUGCCGUAGCUAACGCUUUAAGUACCCCGCCUGGGGAGUACGGCCGCAAGGCUAAAACUCAAAGGAAUUGACGGGGGCCCGCACAAG
rnacentral:rRNA from 1 species